rnacentral:rRNA from 1 species
AAGCUCGUAGUUGAAUUUCGGGCCUGGCUGGACGGUCCGCCUUCCGGGCGAGUACUGUCUGUGGUCGGGUCCUACCUUCUGGCGAAGCGUCAUGGCCUUAACCGGCCGUGGCGGGGAACCAGGACUUUUACUGUGAAAAAAUUAGAGUGUUCAAAGCAGGCAAUUCGCUUGGAUACAUUAGCAUGGAAUAAUGGAAUAGGACAAUGGUUCUAUUUGUUGGUUUCUAGGACUGUUGUAAUGAUUAAUAGGGAUAGUUGGG